UUCUGAGUGCUUUCCUUGCACGCGGGU
rnacentral:piRNA from 1 species